GUGUCCUGUUGUCCCUCUGUAGCAAAUUAACAGUUCUCUGAAGCAGGUUCCCCACGCCAGUGACUUCUGAUAAGGCCAGAGAAGAGUUACCUCCACGGUGAAUGUCUGUCCACUGGAGAGCAACGCAGCGUGGAGACCAUGACGUGUUUGACGAAAGCUCUCCAUGGAUAGGCUCGGUCGCUGGCAUAGUCAUCUGAAAUCUCCAUGUCCUGAUCCUCAGAAAUCACAUCUUUAAUCAUCGCUGCCAGGACUCGCCACGAGUAAUCCAGACUCACCGUGGGAUGCGUCAUGCAUCAGACUGGUCAAGGGGUCCCCAAGCGAAGGGGAAGCAGCAAUGACAGAGGAGGCAUCUCAAGAUUCUCUCUUCAGGACACCUGAGAGAAUGGCGGGCGGGCUGCCAAGCAGCCGGGAGCGAACAAUCCGUUGCAUAGUUUUCUGCAUGCGUCAAAUGCUCGUCCUAUCCAGGCAUAGGUUUCCAUUCAGCAGAGAUGUGUCGUGGGGCCCUUGGGCUUCAGGGGGCAAUGUGGCAGUGCUGUGUCACCCCAGAUGCUUGAUCACAUUGCCAUGUGUGCACACAUGCUGGGGCUUCCAUGUGUACACACACAGCCGGGUCUUAAGAUCACAUCAGCACGUGUGCACAUGCAGCGGGGUCUUCUGGUCACAUCAUUAGGUGUGCAAACAUGCUGGGGCUUCCGGUCACAUUGCGAGGUGUGUGCACACACUGGGGUUUCCAAACACAUUGUUAAGUGUGCACACACCGUGAGGUGUUACGAUCACGUCACUACGUGUGCACACAUGGCUGGGCCUUCCAAGCACAUUACAACGUACGCACACACAACUGAGUCCUCCAGUGACAUUGCUAGGUGUGCACACACGGCUGAAUCCUCCAGCCUGCCAGCUGCCCUGCUCUGAAUUCUUACCACUUUCCUCCCCUAGACGAGCACAGAGCAAGUGCUGAAUGCUGAGACAGAGGACGUUUAUACAGAUUAGAACUGUCAGAUAAGACAGGAUGCCCAGUUAAAGCUGAAUUUCAGCUCUCGAAUGACAAGGCCGAGUGGAGUCUUAGCCCCCAAAGCACUACGACUCUGUGACGGGUCAUGUCAAAAUGUCCUGGGGCUCAACAGUGGUGGCAAAAGAGUUGUAUGAAAACAUCUUGCUCGGCCAGCUGAAGAGAUGAUGAAUUUAUUCCUAAUCAUUCACCCGCCACCUUCUGAAGAGCAGCUCUACCUUCCUAGAGGGUAUGACCAGAAGCUGCCAAGGGGCCAUUGCUCCCUACAUGUCAACUGACCUAGAGCUCCCUGAAGGGACUUCUAUGAUUGGUUGCAGUGUUAAAUGUUGUGCCUAGGAUGCAGAUGUUUUGCUGGUUUGCUGUUCAUAAAAAUAGCUGCUUACAGUUCAAAGAUGUGAAGAUUUCUACAAAGCUUAUCAGGAAAAGGAUAGUAUCCCAACAUCCUCCCCAAUUUCUCAGAGUAACCAAUCUUAAUUUGUUUCAUGUGUUUGUUUCCAUUUUUUUUUAAUAAAACAGUUAUAUUGCUG